AAAAUACCUCCCAUGCAACAUACUAAGUUUCUUUACGGGCAUUAUUAACCAUGCCAGAAAUAAUCUUGGUACUGAAUCCCCAAACAGGAACUUAAUGUAUUAUAUCUCCAAAUAUUUAUGAUACUUCCUAAGUGAACUAGAACCAUGCUUUAUGUAACUGCAGUAAAACCCACUUUAAAAUACUUGUCUGUUUGUUAGGAAAUGGCCACUAACUCCCCUGUCCCCUUCAGGCCCCUUAGAUAGUUAACCAACAAUGUAAUUAUUCCUCAUUCAUACAUUAAAAAACCACCGCCUCAUAUGUGGACUUGAAAAAUUGUACUGUAAUGUACUUACAUCAAAGUUACAAUAAGGGUCAACUAAAAAUUAUUUUCCUUUUUUUAGAGAUGGGGAUCUCACUAUGUUGCCCAGGCUGGUCUCAAACUCCUGGGCUCAGGUGAUCCUCCUACCUCAGCCUCCCAAAGUGCUCGGAUUACAGGCAUGAGCCAGCAUGCCUGGCCUAAUUAUUUUAUCCUAUUUUGUAUUUAUCACAAUAAUUAUUUUGUUCAAAUAGUAGUAUUACAAUAAUGAAGAUUAAAAAGUAUUUCCGUUAGUCUGAAAUACAUGUAAAAUGGCCAAAUAAAAAAUUUGAGUGAAAAUAAAAGAGCAAUGAAAAUAAAACUUUUUUCUAAAACUUUGUUUUAUUUCUAUUUAAUCUAUAUAUUAGUAUUUCUUUUUUUUUUUUUUUUUUUUUUGAGACGGAGUCUCGCUCUUUCGCCCAGGCUGGAGUGCAGUGGCGCGAUCUCAGCUCACUGCAAGCUCCACCUCCCAGGUUCACGCCAUUCUCCUGCCUCACCCUCCCGAGCAGCUGGGACUACAGGCGCCUGCCACCACGCCCAGCUAAUUUUUUUUUGUAUUUUUAGUAGAGACGGGGUUUCACCAUGUUAGCCAGGAUGGUCUCGAUCUCCUGACCUUGUGAUCCAUCCGUCUCGGCUUCCCAAAGUGCUGGGAUUACAGGCGUGAGCCACCGCGCCCGGCCUAUAUUGGUAUUCCUUUAAAUUAAAAAAAUAAUUUGCAGAGUACCGUUUUUUUUUUUUUUUUUUUUGCAUAGGAAGAACUGCUAUGCUUUUUUUCCCGUUAGUUUUAGUGACAUGUAAUAACUACAAAUUUAUGGGAUACUGAUGGGCACAAUUGCUCAAGCCAGUAAUUCCAGCACUUUGGGAAGCCAAGGUGGGCAGAUAGCUUGAGCUCAGGAGUUCUAGACCCGCCUGGGCAACAUGGUGAAACCGUGUCUAUGCUAGAAAAAAAAAAAAAAAAAAAAACCGUCUCUGCUGAAAAAAAAAAAAAAAUGCUGGAUGCGGUGGCUCACGCCUGUAAUCCCAGCGCUUUGGGAGGCUGAGGCGGGUGGAUCACCAUGAGGUCAGGAGUUCGAGACCAGCCUGGCCAAAAUAGUGAAAUCCCAUCUCUACUAAAAAUACAAAAAUUAGGUGUGGUGGCGGGUGCCUGUAAUCCCAGCUACUCGGGAGGCUGAGGCAGGAGAACUGCUUGAAUCUGGGAGGCAAGGUUGCAGUGAGCUGAGACCAUGCCACUGCACUCCAGCCUGGGCAACAGAGCGAGACUCCGUCUAAAAAAAAAAAAAAUUAGCCAGGUGCGGUGGUGCGCCUGUGAUCCCAGCUACUUGGGGGGCUGAGGCAGGAGGAUGGCUUAAACCCAGGAGGCUGAGGCUGCAAUGAGCCGAGAUCAUGCCACUGCACACUCCAGCUUGGGCACCAGGGCAAGACCCUGCCAAAACAAAACAAAACAAAUAACCAACCAUCUUUUAAAAAAAGAAAGAAAGAAAAAAAAUCCCCAGGCCUCCUGGUGCUUACCCCAGGCUGUGUUCUUAUACUGACUGUAUAGAAUGAGGAGGUGAACUCCCAUGUACACCUCAGCCCAGGCCCUGCGCCUUGUCUGUAUUGUGAACGGGAGCACACAGAAAAAAAAUUCAUGGGAUACAUAGUGAUAUUUCAAUACACACAUACAAUUUGUAAUGAUCAAAUCAAGGUAAUUAGCAUAUUUAUGUCUCAGUUAUCAUUGUGUUGUGAACAUUCACAAUCCUUUUAGUUUUUUGAAAAUAACCAAAAAUUAUUAAUCCCUUUACCCUAUAGUGCUAUAGAACACUAGAACUUAUUCUGCCUAUCUAGCGGUAAUUUUGUAUCUGUUAACCAACCUCUCCUUAUUCUCCUCUCCUCUGUACCCUUCCCAGCCUCUAAUAGCCACAAUUCUAAGAGUAUACUCAUUUUAUUUCACCUUUUUUGAAUUAAUUUUCAUGUCAAACUGUACAGCACUCCAAUUAAUUAAUGAACUCCCUCCUCAUAUCUGGACAUUUUUAGCUAUCAUAAAUAAUGUUAAAGUAAACAUUCUCCAACACAGAUUUCUUUUCUUUUUCUUUUUUUUUUUGAAACAGGGUCUCACUUUGUCGUCCAGGCUGGAGUGCAGUGGUGAGAUCUUGGCUCACUGCAACCUCGACCUCCCAGGCUCAAGCAAUCCUCGCACCUCAGCAUCUCAAGUAGUUAGGACUACAGGCACAUGCCACCACUCCUGGCAUAUAUAUAUAUAUAUAUAUAUAU
rnacentral:lncRNA from 10 species